CGACCUCUGAGAUCGUCAAAUCCAAUUUAUGACCGAACACCAGCCUGCCGACUAGACCUUGGCACUAAGUGCCACGUCCUGUCUUUCCUUAAACAGCUCCGGGGUGCGCAGACCAUUCCAAUGUCUGACCACCUUUUCUGUGAAGAAAUUCCUUCUGAUGUCGAAAGUGAAGCUUCCCCGGCAGAGUUCGAGAUGAUGCCCUCUCGUCCUGUCACUGGUUUCCUAGGAGAAACUCCUAGGUUCUUCCUAGGAAAUGAGGCCGCCCCUGCCACCUGGCUACACCCUAUUUUCAGGUAGUUUUACAGAGCGAUAAAGUCACCCCUGGGUCUCAUUUUUUUCUGAGCUAAACACCCCCGGUUCCCUCAGCUGCUUCUCACAGGACUUGUGCUCCAGCCUCUUCCCCAGCUCCCUUGCUUUUCUCUGGACAUGCUCCAGCACCUCAAUGUCUUGUAGUGAGAAGCCCAGAAAUGGAUGAAGGAUUUGAGGUGCAGCCUUACCAAUGCUGACUGCAGGGUGAGUCACUUUUGUGGUCCUGCUGACCAAGCUAUUUCUGAUUCAGGCCAGGAUGCCAUUGGCCUUCUUGGCCACCUGGGCACACACUGGCUCAUGUUCAGUUGCUGUCAGCCAGCACUCCCAGCUCCUUUUCUGCCUGGAAGCUUUCCAGGCACUGUACCCUAAGCCUGGGCCACUGGGGUUGCUGUGACCCAAGUGCAGGACCCAGUACUCGGUCUCACUGAACCUCUUAAAAUUGGCCUCAGCCCAUCGAUCCGGCCUGUCCAGAUCCCUCUGCAGAGCCUUCGUAUUAUCCAGCAGAUCAACUCUCCCACAAAACUUGCUGUCAACUGCAAACUUGCUGAGGGUCAACUUGAUCCCCUUGUCGAGGUCAUUGAUAAAGAUGUUAAACAGAAGUGGACGCAGUACUGAUCCCCGAGUAGCGCCACUAGUGACCAGCUGCCAGCUGGAUUGGUUCCAUCCACCACCACUCUCUGGGCCUGACAUCAAGCCAGUAUUUCAUCCAGCAUACAGUACACUCACCCAAAUCAUCAGCAGCCAGCUUCUCCAGGAGAAUGCUGUGGGAGACAGUGUCAAAGGCUUUACUAGAGACCAGCGCCGGGGCACCACCAAGUGGCAGCAUCGUGAGGAGCCGAGCUCUCGUCGGAAAAACAUUUCUGUCUUAAGAAAGAACAAAGGGAGCAGAUCCGCACCUGGAAAUAGCCAAUUUUAGUUUGAUUUGGCUGAUAAAGUCAUGCCUGGGUGCCUUGAGCCAAGACUCAGCCCAGGCUGAGGAAUGGGCUUAGAGUUAAAUGUUGCAUUAGGAGAAUGAAGGUCAUCAUGCCUAGAGAUGCACUUGGUGUGGAGCUACCAAGAACUGCCAUAAAGAGGUAGGACAUGAAAAGAAUUCUUUCAUCAGGCCAUGGCUGGGUAUGUUGGAGAAGGCUCAGCUGAUGUCUGGGAUUAGGGUUAAUGUUAACAUUACAUACCUGGUUGGGAGAGAGAUAAAACCUGGGGCUAUAGUUGGUGUGGGGCAGAAAGGGAGCAGCCAGAGUAAGGCUGCAAAGAUACCUUUUCCCUGAAAUCUUCUUAAUCUGGGUGCUGGUUCAGGAUCUGUAACUAAGGUUCAACCCAUCCUUUGCAUUCAUACUAAGUCAGACUUUUAACAAGGCAAAGCCUAGAACUCCAUUUUGAUAAAACAAUUUGCUGUAGGAAUUCUCUCAGGAUAACUUGUUCAUCACGGCUAUGGCUUGGGGUCUUUGGCUGGUCUCUGCAGAUAUCAGGUGUUGGAGUUGUGUUUACAGUUAGGCUUAGGGACAGUAAGCAGGCCAAGUUUGAAUCCCCAUUUGGAGUGGGGCAGGAAAGAAUUAUUCUGAGAAGUUUCUCAUCUGGUUGAUGGUUAGGGGCUUUGGGCUGUCUCAGUUUGAAUCUAUGAUUAGGGAUCUGCUAAUGUUCAGCUUUGGGAAAAGAGAGAAAGCCUAGCAGUUCAUUUGGUCAGGGAUUGAAAAAGGAUUGCAAAAGGAAGUGACGGGGGCAAAAAUAAUUGUUCCCCAAGGACACAUUCACCUGGGCUAUGGCUUGAGAAUCUUGAGCUAGACCUCCCUUGACACCUAGGUUUGGGAUAAGAGUUGGAAGAGACACAAAGAGUAGAAGCUCCAGUUUACUCCAUUUAAGCCUGGAAAAAGACCUCCAAAGGAAAGAGUAGAAUAUCAGAAGAAUUCUCUCCUGAAGUCCUGUGCUGUUGUCUUGGUGUAGAGACAAGUUUAGGAGAAAAACACUCUGGAAUGAGUGUUUCCUCUAAAAAACAGGAGUUCCAACAAUCAUUGUCUGCCAAUAAGAAAUGAAACUAGUGGAUGAAAGUGAAAAAAAACCCCAGCCAUUUAUUGAUAAUCAGAGUGCCCAUAUGGAGCAGUAAAAAAGUAAAUAAAUGCUAGAUAUUGCAUUGUCAGAACUUAGAACAUUGUCCCCUCCAUCCCCAUGCACAUGCACACACUGGAACAAAAAUCCAAAAUGCCAGGGAAAGAAAAAAACAACAGCAGUUUGCCACUUGGUGGGGGCAAAAUGGCAUGAGUUUUCAGGGGAAUAAAAACCAACCAGAAAAACUCCCAGUAGUUUCAAAGAGAAGUUUGGGCAAACAGAUGUGAAACCUGGUGAGUCUCUGACAUCGGUCCCCUCUUCACAGCAGAUGAGGCAAUUGAGCUUUCUCUUGCUGACCCAGCUUUUUCCAAGACAUGGGGCCAAAAUGGAGAGGCCCUUUGUCUUUCCUGCCAGUUUCUUGGAUCUCAGACCAACAACAAACCACUCUCAGUUGACUUUGAAGAGCUGCUGAAGAACUGCUGCUGCAGCCUCUCCAAGGUCAGGGAAAGAAACAAAAAAACCCUUCUGCCUUGGCUAACAAAAAAACCUCAUGCUAGCCAAGCAAAAACCCAGACCACAUGCCACGAGGUGAGGCUUUGGAAAAGCCCACCGAAGAGCUCCAAGGCUCCCUUCUCCUCCCAGACCUUAAAGGUACAGCAACCAUUUUUAGGCAUGAAGAAAGCUGUAAAGGAAUAGACUAAUCAUCAGAAAAUCACCCCAAGACAACUAUGCUUAAAUUUACAUGAGGAAAUGUUUAUCUGAAUCAUAGCUAGGAAUUCAAGGACUCAUCCAACACAGUGUCUGGGGUAGUUGGGGAGAAGUCCACAUGAACACAUAAAUUUGGGACUGGGAGAGAGACAAAGCACAGAGCUUAGUUAGGAGAGAAGCUUGAAGAAGGUUGCUGAAGGAAGGUGCGUGUUGCAAAAAGUUAUUGUCCCCUGAGAGUUUGUUUACCUGGGACAUGGCUGGUGGACCUGGGCUAGCACUCAGUUGUCUUCUUGGAGUGGUCAAAACAAGACUUUGAGCAGUUACAGUUUUUCUGAUGCAGUGCUUCUGGAAGGAUUUCUUUCCUAAGGGAAAAGGAAGAGUUCAGUUAUACGAGUGAACCCAUGUUCUGCUCUGACCUUCAAAGUUCACCUAAUUUUAUAUUUCUUUUUUUUUUCUGUUGGCAUGAUCAGCUUUUUGAGCUGAGACAGAAUCCUAAAUCAAAAUUCACUAUUAAGGAGUAAUGUGUAUU